AUCCAGCUGACGAGUCCCAAAAAAGACGAAACCCGCGUCAAACUGGAU
rnacentral:hammerhead_ribozyme from 1 species